rnacentral:rRNA from 1 species
UUUACGGAGAGUUUGAUCCUGGCUCAGGACGAACGCUGGCGGCGUGCUUAACACAUGCAAGUCGAACGAUGAAGCUGGAGCUUGCUCCGGUGGAUUAGUGGCGAACGGGUGAGUAACACGUGAGCAACCUGCCCUUCACUCUGGGAUAACUGCGGGAAACUGUAGCUAAUACCGGAUAUUAGGAUCCGAGGCAUCUCGGAUCUUGGAAAGAAUUUCGGUGAAGGAUGGGCUCGCGGCCUAUCAGCUUGUUGGUGAGGUAAAGGCUCACCAAGGCGACGACGGGUAGCCGGCCUGAGAGGGUGACCGGCCACACUGGAACUGAGACACGGUCCAGACUCCUACGGGAGGCAGCAGUGGGGAAUAUUGCACAAUGGGCGCAAGCCUGAUGCAGCAACGCCGCGUGAGGGAUGAAGGCCUUCGGGUUGUAAACCUCUUUUAGCAGGGAAGAAGCGAAAGUGACGGUACCUGCAGAAAAAGCACCGGCUAACUACGUGCCAGCAGCCGCGGUAAUACGUAGGGUGCAAGCGUUGUCCGGAAUUAUUGGGCGUAAAGAGCUCGUAGGCGGUUUGUCGCGUCUGCUGUGAAAACUGGAAGCUCAACUUCCAGCCUGCAGUGGGUACGGGCAGACUAGAGUGCGGUAGGGGAGAACGGAAUUCCUGGUGUAGCGGUGGAAUGCGCAGAUAUCAGGAGGAACACCGAUGGCGAAGGCAGUUCUCUGGGCCGUUACUGACGCUGAGGAGCGAAAGCGUGGGGAGCGAACAGGAUUAGAUACCCUGGUAGUCCACGCCGUAAACGAUGGGUGCUAGUUGUUGGCCUGUAUGGGCCAGUGACGUAGUUAACGCGCUAAGCACACCACCUGGGGAGUACGUUCGCAAGAAUGAAACUCAAAGGAAUUGACGGGGGCCCGCACAAGCGGUGGAGCAUGUGGUUUAAUUCGAUGCAACGCGAAGAACCUUACCUGCCCUUGACAUCCUCGGAACUUGUCAGAGAUGACUUGGUGCCUUCGGGAACUGAGUGACAGGUGCUGCAUGGCUGUCGUCAGCUCGUGUCGUGAGAUGUUGGGUUAAGUCCCGCAACGAGCGCAACCCUCGUCCUAUGUUGCCAGCACGUAAUGGUGGGAACUCAUGGGAUACUGCCGGGGUCAACUCGGAGGAAGGUGGGGAUGACGUCAAAUCAUCAUGCCCCUUAUGUCUUGGGCUUCACGCAUGCUACAAUGGCCGGUACAGAGGGCUGCAAUACCGCAAGGUGGAGCGAAUCCCAAAAAGCCGGUCUCAGUUCGGAUUGAGGUCUGCAACUCGACCUCAUGAAGUCGGAGUCGCUAGUAAUCGUAGAUCAGCAACGCUACGGUGAAUACGUUCCCGGGCCUUGUACACACCGCCCGUCAAGUCACGAAAGUCGGUAACACCCGAAGCCGGUGGCCCAACCUUUUGGAGGGAGCCGUCUAAGGUGGGACUGGUAAUUGGGACUAAGUCGUAACAAGGUAGCCGUACCGGAAGGUGCGGCUGGAUCACCUCCUUU